CGUCGUGAGAGACGGGGUGCCUUCGGGGAGACAUGAGACUGGUGCUGCGUGGUUGUCGUCUCCUGGCGUCGUGAGAUGUUCUGAUACCUCCGGCAACCACCGCCCCCCUCGCCAUUAGUUGCCAUCAAUUCGGUUGGGCACUCUAGAGGGACUGCCAAUGAAAGUAGGAGGAAGGCGAGGAUGACGUCUAGUCAUGAUGGUCCUUACGGCCUGGGCGACACACGUGCUACAAUGGCCGGUAUAACGCGUCGCCACCUCGCGAGAGGGAGCAAAUCGCAAAAGCCGGUCCCAUUUCAUAUUGCACUCUGCAACUCCACUGCAUGAACUUAGAAUCUCUAAUAAUCGCAGAUCAACCAUGCCGCGGUGAAUACUUUCCCGGGUCUUGUACACAGCGAA
rnacentral:rRNA from 1 species